GUAGCUCAGAUGGUAAAGCGUCUGCCUAUAAUGCAGGAGACCUGGGUUUGAUCCCUGGC
rnacentral:tRNA from 1 species